rnacentral:rRNA from 1 species
GAUGAACGCUGGCGGCGUGCCUAAUACAUGCAAGUCGAGCGAACAGACGAGGAGCUUGCUCCUCUGACGUUAGCGGCGGACGGGUGAGUAACACGUGGAUAACCUACCUAUAAGACUGGGAUAACUUCGGGAAACCGGAGCUAAUACCGGAUAAUAUAUUGAACCGCAUGGUUCAAUAGUGAAAGACGGUUUUGCUGUCACUUAUAGAUGGAUCCGCGCCGCAUUAGCUAGUUGGUAAGGUAACGGCUUACCAAGGCAACGAUGCGUAGCCGACCUGAGAGGGUGAUCGGCCACACUGGAACUGAGACACGGUCCAGACACCUACGGGAGGCAGCAGUAGGGAAUCUUCCGCAAUGGGCGAAAGCCUGACGGAGCAAUGCCGCGUGAGUGAUGAAGGUCUUCGGAUCGUAAAACUCUGUUAUUAGGGAAGAACAAAUGUGUAAGUAACUAUGCACGUCUUGACGGUACCUAAUCAGAAAGCCACGGCUAACUACGUG